rnacentral:rRNA from 1 species
AGCGAACGCUGGCGGCAGGCCUAACACAUGCAAGUCGAACGGACCCUUCGGGGUUAGUGGCGGACGGGUGAGUAACACGUGGGAACGUGCCUUUAGGUUCGGAAUAGCUCCUGGAAACGGGUGGUAAUGCCGAAUGUGCCCUUAGGGGGAAAGAUUUAUCGCCUUUAGAGCGGCCCGCGUCUGAUUAGCUAGUUGGCGAGGUAAUGGCUCACCAAGGCUACGAUCAGUAGCUGGUCUGAGAGGAUGACCAGCCACAUUGGGACUGAGACACGGCCCAAACUCCUACGGGAGGCAGCAGUGGGGAAUCUUGCGAAAUGGGCGAAAGCCUGACGCAGCCACGCCGCGUGGAUGAUGAAGGUCUUAGGAUUGUAAAAUCCUUUCACCGGUGAAGAUAAUGACUGUAGCCGGAGAAGAAGCCCCGGCUAACUUCGUGCCAGCAGCCGCCGUAAAAC